GGAGUGCCAAAGCAAAAAAGGGGUGUAUGGAUGGAAAAGAACCAUGGGCCCAAGGGUUGUAGUGAAGCCCACACGAAAUGCAAGGUUUUAAUUCAUUCUUUGUUUCAUCAAGUUCACGAUGCUUCUCUCUCAAAUAAUACUCCCUCGCUGGCGCCUUUCCCCUCCAACCGGAGGCGGAAGAAUUGAGAGAGUGAUUUGCAUAAAAAUGUUCAAAGGUUUCGAUGAAUGAGGAGGAAUAUGAUUAUAUAGAUGAAUUCCCAAACUGUUUCGGGAAGUUUUCCGGGCAGUGGUUGUUAGAGUAAGGGCACUAUUAUGGUUAGUGAAUUUCCAAGAGUCGGUAUGUGCUUGAAAUGAAGAUGUAUGGCAUAUCAUGGCACAUAAAGAUGGAAAUUUGGAAAACAUCAAGACUCAUAAAGAAGUUUGAAGACUUGGAUGGGAUGAAUUGUAAAUGAAGAAAAAGUGAGGAUUAGGGUUUAGGAUUAGUAGUUGACUUUGGUCAACUGUUUAACUGAAAAGUCAACAGUUUGACCAAAAGUCAACUAUAGUUCAAAGAUGUGCAAUCUUGUAUGGACUUUGUAAUUUGGAUUUUUGUAAUGUAAUGCUUUGAUGAAUUGUAAUGAAAAAUGGCUUUGUUGAAAUGAA